GACGAACGCUGGCGGCGUGCUUAACACAUGCAAGUCGAACGGAAAGGCCCUGCUUUUGUGGGGUGCUCGAGUGGCGAACGGGUGAGUAACACGUGAGUAACCUGCCCUUGACUUUGGGAUAACUUCAGGAAACUGGGGCUAAUACCGGAUAGGAGCUCCUGCUGCAUGGUGGGGGUUGGAAAGUUUCGGCGGUUGGGGAUGGACUCGCGGCUUAUCAGCUUGUUGGUGGGGUAGUGGCUUACCAAGGCUUUGACGGGUAGCCGGCCUGGGAGGGUGACCGGCCACAUUGGGACUGAGAUACGGCCCAGACUCCUACGGGAGGCAGCAGUGGGGAAUAUUGCACAGUGGGCGGAAGCCUGGCGCGGCAACGCCGCGUGCGGGAUGACGGCCUUCGGGUUGUAAACCGCUUUCGCCUGUGACGAAGCGUGAGUGACGGUAAUGGGUAAAGAAGCACCGGCUAACUACGUG
rnacentral:rRNA from 1 species